UUCUCAUCCAGAGUGGCGGAGGGGCUGGCCCUUUGAAGCCACGGCAACCCGCUUCAGGCGGGUGCUAAUUCCUGCCUCGACGCAUGCACGAUCUGGCCGCGUUGACGCGGCGUCGGGGAGAGAUGAGGA
rnacentral:ncRNA from 2 species